GGUCGGUUAGCUCAGCUGGUUAGAGCGUCGUAAGUUGAGAAAAUUCAGGCCCAAUUCGAACUCAAAACUGACUCCCCCAGGUACUAAUACAACACCAAUUGUAUCAAGUAAUGCGAAGGUCAUGAGUUCGAUCCUCAUACUGACCA